UGUGAGCUCGAUGAGUAGGGCGGGACACGUGGUAUCCUGUCUGAAUAUGGGGGGACCAUCCUCCAAGGCUAAAUACUCCUGACUGACCGAUAGUGAACCAGUACCGUGAGGGAAAGGCGAAAAGAACCCCGGCGAGGGGAGUGAAAAAGAACCUGAAACCGUGUACGUACAAGCAGUGGGAGCACGCUUAGGCGUGUGACUGCGUACCUUUUGUAUAAUGGGUCAGCGACUUAUAUUCUGUAGCAAGGUUAACCGAAUAGGGGAGCCGAAGGGAAACCGAGUCUUAACUGGGCGUUAAGUUGCAGGGUAUAGACCCGAAACCCGGUGAUCUAGCCAUGGGCAGGUUGAAGGUUGGGUAACACUAACUGGAGGACCGAACCGACUAAUGUUGAAAAAUUAGCGGAUGACUUGUGGCUGGGGGUGAAAGGCCAAUCAAACCGGGAGAUAGCUGGUUCUCCCCGAAAGCUAUUUAGGUAGCGCCUCGUGAAUUCAUCUCCGGGGGUAGAGCACUGUUUCGGCAAGGGGGUCAUCCCGACUUACCAACCCGAUGCAAACUGCGAAUACCGGAGAAUGUUAUCACGGGAGACACACGGCGGGUGCUAACGUCCGUCGUGAAGAGGGAAACAACCCAGACCGCCAGCUAAGGUCCCAAAGUCAUGGUUAAGUGGGAAACGAUGUGGGAAGGCCCAGACAGCCAGGAUGUUGGCUUAGAAGCAGCCAUCAUUUAAAGAAAGCGUAAUAGCUCACUGGUCGAGUCGGCCUGCGCGGAAGAUGUAACGGGGCUAAACCAUGCACCGAAGCUGCGGCAGCGACGCUUAUGCGUUGUUGGGUAGGGGAGCGUUCUGUAAGCCUGUGAAGGUGUGCUGUGAGGCAUGCUGGAGGUAUCAGAAGUGCGAAUGCUGACAUAAGUAACGAUAAAGCGGGUGAAAAGCCCGCUCGCCGGAAGACCAAGGGUUCCUGUCCAACGUUAAUCGGGGCAGGGUGAGUCGACCCCUAAGGCGAGGCCGAAAGGCGUAGUCGAUGGGAAACAGGUUAAUAUUCCUGUACUUGGUGUUACUGCGAAGGGGGGACGGAGAAGGCUAUGUUGGCCGGGCGACGGUUGUCCCGGUUUAAGCGUGUAGGCUGGUUUUCCAGGCAAAUCCGGAAAAUCAAGGCUGAGGCGUGAUGACGAGGCACUACGGUGCUGAAGCAACAAAUGCCCUGCUUCCAGGAAAAGCCUCUAAGCAUCAGGUAACAUCAAAUCGUACCCCAAACCGACACAGGUGGUCAGGUAGAGAAUACCAAGGCGCUUGAGAGAACUCGGGUGAAGGAACUAGGCAAAAUGGUGCCGUAACUUCGGGAGAAGGCACGCUGAUAUGUAGGUGAAGUCCCUCGCGGAUGGAGCUGAAAUCAGUCGAAGAUACCAGCUGGCUGCAACUGUUUAUUAAAAACACAGCACUGUGCAAACACGAAAGUGGACGUAUACGGUGUGACGCCUGCCCGGUGCCGGAAGGUUAAUUGAUGGGGUCAGCGCAAGCGAAGCUCUUGAUCGAAGCCCCGGUAAACGGCGGCCGUAACUAUAACGGUCCUAAGGUAGCGAAAUUCCUUGUCGGGUAAGUUCCGACCUGCACGAAUGGCGUAAUGAUGGCCAGGCUGUCUCCACCCGAGACUCAGUGAAAUUGAACUCGCUGUGAAGAUGCAGUGUACCCGCGGCAAGACGGAAAGACCCCGUGAACCUUUACUAUAGCUUGACACUGAACAUUGAGCCUUGAUGUGUAGGAUAGGUGGGAGGCUUUGAAGUGUGGACGCCAGUCUGCAUGGAGCCGACCUUGAAAUACCACCCUUUAAUGUUUGAUGUUCUAACGUUGACCCGUAAUCCGGGUUGCGGACAGUGUCUGGUGGGUAGUUUGACUGGGGCGGUCUCCUCCUAAAGAGUAACGGAGGAGCACGAAGGUUGGCUAAUCCUGGUCGGACAUCAGGAGGUUAGUGCAAUGGCAUAAGCCAGCUUGACUGCGAGCGUGACGGCGCGAGCAGGUGCGAAAGCAGGUCAUAGUGAUCCGGUGGUUCUGAAUGGAAGGGCCAUCGCUCAACGGAUAAAAGGUACUCCGGGGAUAACAGGCUGAUACCGCCCAAGAGUUCAUAUCGACGGCGGUGUUUGGCACCUCGAUGUCGGCUCAUCACAUCCUGGGGCUGAAGUAGGUCCCAAGGGUAUGGCUGUUCGCCAUUUAAAGUGGUACGCGAGCUGGGUUUAGAACGUCGUGAGACAGUUCGGUCCCUAUCUGCCGUGGGCGCUGGAGAACUGAGGGGGGCUGCUCCUAGUACGAGAGGACCGGAGUGGACGCAUCACUGGUGUUCGGGUUGUCAUGCCAAUGGCACUGCCCGGUAGCUAAAUGCGGAAGAGAUAAGUGCUGAAAGCAUCUAAGCACGAAACUUGCCCCGAGAUGAGUUCUCCCUGACUCCUUGAGAGUCCUGAAGGAACGUUGAAGACGACGACGUUGAUAGGCCGGGUGUGUAAGCGCAGCGAUGCGUUGAGCUAACCGGUACUAAUGAACCGUGAGGCUUAACCUUACAACGCCGAAGCUGUU
rnacentral:rRNA from 1 species